UCUAGAAUGGAUUGUCGUUUUAAAGUGCAUCCAUCUCAAAAGUUAAGAUACACACAACGGUUCUUAGGUGCAGGAAAGCAUUAUUGAAUUAAGACACUGGUAUUCUACAUUGAAUUUUUAGCUCAUACUUUUAAUGUGCCUAUCUAAAUUUACUGUCCUUUUCCCUCUUAAUCAUGCUAUUCUUGAGAAUAUAAAUUAUUGUGCACUAGGAGUUUCCUCCCAGCCUGAUUGAGAUGCAAGAAAUUCAUUGGUUUUCUGUUUCAUUUGCACAAGACGAUCUGACCACAUCAAUAUUAUGUGAUUCCAGAUUAGAGGAAGGGCUGCAGAAGCAGGAGUCAAUUCUAAGGAAACCCGGACAGUAAUUUGCCUAUAUCUUUUUCAUGGAUAGAAUGCGAAAAAUUGACUGUUUGAUCACCAUAUAGUUUCAGUAUACAGUUUUGCUGAAAGGCAAGCGACCAAGUACCUGACUGUUGCUCGGAUGGCUCCACUCAAUUGGUUCAUCUUCAUCAGCGCAGCCCCUUUUAGAGCUUAGUUGGCAAUUCAUAACUAUGAAGCUUCAGCAAUGUUUGGCGAACAAAGUUAUAUUGAAGCUUGGACAUACCACAGAGUCAGAGAACCAAGCCGACGGGAUGUAUAUACCAGGAAAUCAAAGAAUCAGCCUACAAGCAUCUAUUUUGUCCACGAUGAAAGCUUGCAUGCUGAUGCACCAGAAGAGAAUAUUAAUGGGAAGCAUGAACCUGUGGUUGCUAACCCGUCAAAAGAGCUGACCCAUUCACCAAAGCCCCUGCUCAUCCCACUUAUGUCAGUUCUAUGAAGAAGCCCCUUGGUGCAAAGAAGAUUGGUGGCAAGGCUGGAGGGCUUGGCGUAAAAAAGCUAACUACAAAGACAAAUGAAAGCUUCUAUGACCAAAAACCUCAAGAGCCGAAAUUAGUUUUGCCAGCAUUGACUACUACUUCUACAGCUCCUAAAAAAGUGGCCCAUCCCAUUCUUGUUUUGAAUAUGUGGAGAAUGAGGAAUCAACUGAUUCAAAAACUGGUGGAGCUCACAUGAGUACAUGACUUGUCAUGUAG